UGGGACAAGGCAGCGACCCUCACACCAGGACAACAACAGAACCCUCAGAGGACAACGGGACCCACUGCAAAAAGAAAUUCUCAGCAAGGAUGGACAGAAAUUCUAAGGAGGACCAUGAGACCAAGUGAGGCAGGACUGUGUGGAUGCAGGAAGAAAAGCUGGCCAGGAAGUAGAAUUUGCUGUGAUUCCAAAAGCCAGCAAGGUGACUGAACCCACAACUGGAAGUAGUGACUGACCUACAAGCACACCAUGGAUCGGGGAAGAGUUAGCAUCUUUCCUGUCUAGCCACCAAAAAACCCGUGAAUCAAUCGUCUUCCCAGCUCCGCUGCCCCUGCAAGCCAGAGAGCACAGCUUCCUUCGGGUCAGGUCAGGUGGCUCCAAAUCAGCAUUUCUGAAAUAAUGAGCUCUCCAAUUAAAAAGAUGCCUUGGAGUGAUGGAUAUAUGCUAUAGCAGAAGCCAGAAGAAUAAAAGAGAUUU